rnacentral:rRNA from 1 species
CUACGGGGCGCUGCAGUGAGGAAUAUUGCACGAUGGGGGGAACUCUGAUGCAGCAACGCCGCGUGGAGGAUGACACUUUUCGGAGCGUAAACUCCUUUUAUAUAGGAAGAAGAUGACGGUACUAUAUGAAUAAGCGCCGGCUAACUCCGUGCCAGCAGCCGCGGUAAUACGGAGGGCGCAAGCGUUACUCGGAAUCACUGGGCGUAAAGAGCGUGUAGGCGGAUUAAAAAGUCAGAAGUGAAAUCCUAUAGCUUAACUAUAGAACUGCUUCUGAAACUCUUAAUCUAGAAUAUGGGAGAGGUAGAUGGAAUUUCUGGUGUAGGGGUAAAAUCCGUAGAGAUCAGAAGGAAUACCGAUUGCGAAGGCGAUCUACUAGAACAUUAUUGACGCUGAGACGCGAAAGCGUGGGGAGCAAACAGGAUUAGAUACCCCCGUAGUC